rnacentral:lncRNA from 1 species
CCCAUCUACACACACACUUGGCUUCUACAGCAACCAACAUGGCUUCCUCACAGGAAGCCUCAGAGCUCAGCUCUGGGGCUCAUGGACUUCUCUGUUCUGGUUCUUAAUCCUCGUGUUGGUGAGGCAAGGUGGCUCACCCUGAUCCCUGGCUGUCUGAAUAACACGCUCACCUUCAAUUCCCCACCUUCUCUCCAAAAGAGACUUUGAUCGAUGACUCUGACAUUCCUUUCGUGGCAAAAUGAAACGUUCAGUUGGAAAACUGCAAACAGGGUUUUGGUUAUAUAAAGCUUUUUGAAAGCCUGGCUGUAUUGUAAAAAGGAAGGCGCACCUAUAAUAAAUCUAAUGAACAUCCUCCAUAAUACUGUCAUGAAAAACAUUGUCUUCCAAGAAAUCUGAUAUAAAUUGAAACAUCGCUGGUCCAGUAAUUAAAGAGCAGAGUAAGUCAGUAUGUAAUUGGGGGUUGAACUGUGUGGAAGCAACCAAACACCCUUGUCUUUUGAAAUCUAC